UGAAGUCGAUUUCACGCGCAGCCAGCCA
rnacentral:sRNA from 1 species